UGAAUACCAGUUGAUUGCUUAACAAAUUUGCCCUUCUCUAGGCGGGAUGCCCUCCUUGUCGAGUCACCCCUCUUAUCACUGCCGUGGUCCUCCGCUCUAUCAUGACUUAGCAUUUGGUUAUCAGCGGGUACGUCGGGUGCCAUGGUUGCGCAAGCACACAUACCGACAAGCUUAGCACUAUGUGGAGGCUUUUUGCGUGCUCCUCACAGACGACGCCAAUUGUUUGUGGCUGAUUUUGGGUUAACGAAAUAAAAUCACAAAACCAAGCCAAGAACAAUAAAUUUAUUUUUAUUGGGGAGCGGGGUGCCUCACUUGUUCGGCGCGUGCAGGUUGUUUAGGCUUUUUGUGGAGAGAAUGAGGAUUGAGAUGGCAGUGGAUAUGGAAGGUGUCAGACUUUAGGUGUGGAGGGCUGGUGAAACUCGCCUUAAACCUGCGAAACAACUAAAAAAGAAGUCAAAGGUGGAGCCGGGGAUGACCGGCGACCACGCUCCGACGCUCAAGUCAGAGUUGGGUUAUCUCAGGUUAGAGAGCUUGCAAGUCAGAGUUGGGUUAUCCGCCGAAUUCAGAAUGGUACGAGGCUUUACAAGAGGCCUUAGGGUGCAUUUCUAAGAGCCACAGCAUAGCCCCACCCAAAAAUACUGCCCUGAAGGUCGGGAUGCCAAAAGGCCCCAGGGGCUCCAAGACGGGUGGGCAUAGCCUUAGUGAGAGGCACGAGCGAAGUUCGUCCGCCGGACUCGGAAUGGGGCGAGGCUUUACGAGAGAUCUCGGUGUGCCCAUGGAGAGUCGAGGGCACAGCCGCGCCCAAAAAUAGUGCUCCAAGGUCGGGAUGCCAAAAAGGCCCCAGGGGCCCCAAAACGGGUGGGCUAUAGCCUUGGGGGGGUGCGGGCGAAGUUCGUCCGCCGGACUCGGAAUGGGGUGAGGCUUUGCGAGGGGCCUCGAUGUGCCCACGGGGAGUCGCGGUAAUAGCCGCGCCCAAAAAUAGCGCCCCAAGUUCGGAGUGCCAAAAAGGCUCCAAAGGCCUCGAGACGAGUGGGCUAUAGCCUUUGUGAGGAGCGCGGGUGAAGUUUGUCCGCCGGAUUUGGAAUUGGUCGAGACUUUGCGAGGGGCCUUGGUGUGCUCGCGGGAGUUGCGGGCAUGGCCGCGCUAAAAAUAAGCCUGAUUAUGAGUAGGGGUGGGCAAAAUACCCGACCUGACCUGACCUGACCUGACCUCACCCGAUCCGACCCGAAAAAUUUCGGGUUCGGAUCGGAUCGGGUUGCUAAUAUAACCCGAUCAGAUGAAAUAUUACAAACCCGAUCGGGUUGUGAUCGGAUAGGAUAAAACCCGAUCUGAUCCGAAAACCCGAUCGGGUUGCUUUAAAAAAAAAUUCUACAGCCAAACGCCCAAACACACGCACACGGCACACAACACACCACACAUAAUCACACAAAUCACUGAAAUCACAUACUCAAAAGGUUACACUUUACAGUUUACACAAACACAAAACACACAAAAACAAAAAAAUCACAACACCCAACCCGUGAACCCACCCUCAAGAAGCAAGAAAACAUUCUCUCCUUCCCCCAAUCUGCUGCUGCCGUGUUGCGAGUCCGGCCAUCUGCUGCUGCGUCAGCGAUCUGCUGCCGCCGUGUUGCGUCCAGCCAUCGCGAGGAAACUGCUGCACGCCCACCGAUCUGCUGCCGUAAACCCAGCCGCCGAUCUGCUGCUCCAAGGCUCAAGCUCCAACCCGACCCGAGUUUCUCCUUUAGUCCCUUAUGUGUUUUGAAUUUUGAAGCUUUCAUGGUGUAUUGGUAUAUAUGUUUUGAAUUGACCCGUUUUUAUCAACCCGAAUUGGUUUAACUUGACCCGAAUUCAAUAUGAUCCAUUUUUAAUCCGAACCGAUUCAACCCGAAUUCAACCCGAUUUUUGACCUGAUCCGAACCGAUCCGAAUAUAUAUCGGAUCGGAUCGGGUCGGGUUGUAAAUUCGAGUUGUAUUCGGAUCAAUGUUUGCACAACCCGAAUAACCCGAAACCUGAUCGGGUUGACCCGAACUCCACCCGAAUCCGAUUUUGCCCACCCCUAAUUAUGAGUUAGCCUUGGUAGGGCCCGCGGCAACCCCCGGAAGUCCCGCCGGAAAUCACGCCAGAAGGAGUCCAUCCGAGAGGAAAGAAAAAGAAAAAAGAAAAAAAAAGAGGAAAAAGAGUCCAGCCGAGAGGGAAGAGAAAAAAAAAAAAAGAGGAAGAGGGGAGUUGACUGAAAGAAGAAAAAAGAAAAGAGAAAGAUAAGAAAGAGAAGAAAUAAACUAUUAAUUAUAAAAUAUAAUAUGAAGUAGGUUAUUUAACACAAAUCAAAUAAAUAAAUUCCAAUUGUAAAAUUAAUGAUAUAUAAUAUAACACUAAUAAAUAACACAACUAAAUACAUAUACGUAAGUGAAUAUCAUAGGUACAUCAAUAAACUCAUUGGUGAGAUUGCUUGUAACCUAAAAAAUACUUGAUUACACAUAUUUUAAUAAAAUUUAAUAUCUUAUAUCAAAAUACUCAUUAUUUUAUAUAAUAUUAAGGACCAUUGAAUAAUUGAUAAUAAAAUAUAUAUUAUUAUUAACACUCAUUUAACAUAUAUAUUCUCUGAAUUUUUUGUUCAGGAUUUCUUUAUAAUACUUUAUGAGUUUUUACAACAUUGAUAAUAGGAUUGUUGUGGACUCUUGGAUGUUAGGGUUUUCAUGUUUACCAUUCAUUUGAUACAGUGAAUACAAAAUUAGCUAUUUAAAUCAUAACAAGUAAUCUUCAUGUUGCACGUAAAUAUAGAUUUUUAUAUUUUUAAUUAAUUGAUAAAAGAAAUUUUAUAUUAUAAUAAAUAAAAAUCUCACAAUCGAUGAUGGGAUCAUUGGAUUUAAUAUUAGAAUCUUCGCCCUUAAUUUAAUUUUAAUGGAUAAGUAAUUAUGCAACAAGUAAUCUGCAAGUUGUGAUAUUUCUUCAUAUUUUAAAUUAUUUUAUAUCUAAUCAAUUGAUGAAUAUUUUAAAUCAUCAAAAAAUGAAAGAAAUACAAGUAAUUUUGGAAUUAAAAUUAUUAUGUAUUAAUUCUCUUACUUUACAAUUUUACAUUUUUUUUUUACUUUUACAUUUAGUAUUAGAAAUAUAUUUAGUAGCAUUAAAAUAAAUGUAAUUAACAAGUAAUAUUAUUUGAAUAAUACUUUAUAUGAAGAUAUUACAUAAAGUAUUAUAAUAAUUUGUAUUGUAUGAAUUCAAUUACAAACUAUUAAUACCUAAACAAUAAUGAUAAUAGAAGGCAUUGUAAUAAAAUAUUUUAUAUAUGUUUUAUUAGUAAUACUAUGAGUCACAACAAAUGAUAAAUAUUUUAGUCACUAAUGAAAAAUAUAUAUGGCUAUAUAAAUAUAUAGUGAGAAAUAUUUUGAUUUAAAUUUUUAACAAAAAAUUAAACUAUUAAUUUCAUGCAAUUGAAUGGUGGAGGAUAUGACAUUAUGAAAUUAUGCUUUGACUUUCAAUAUUAACCAUUAGACUAUGAGAUAUUAAUGACUCAAAUAUUGCGUCAAAAUUUUAAGUUAAAGUAUCCUAAACCAUGUCUUUAUAAUGGAAAUAUAAAAACAUACAAUUAAUUUUUCUCAUUUUGUCAUUAAAUAUUAUUGGAUGUAAUAUUUUAUUUAUUGUCACUAUUACUUAUCAUAAUAAAAGCAAUGGCUCUUAGUAACAUAAAAAUUUUACAAUUACAGUCAAAGAAUAACGAUAGAAUAAUCUUUUAUGAUUUAUAAACUAAAGUUAAUUAGGAAUAUAUGUUAGAUUAAAUUUUUAUGGAAUUAAUAAAGUGACAUUUGAAAAUAAAAUGAAAACAAGCUUGUGAAAGUUAAAGUUUAUAAGGCUCGGAUAAUUUUCUACCAUGUAAAUAAAAAUAUAAAAAUAUAAAAAGAUUUUCUUUCCCAAUUUUUCCACAUAAAUAUUCUUGAAGGCAAUAUUUUAUUCAUUGUCAAUAGUAAUUACCAUAAUAAAAGUAACAACUCUUAUAACAUAAAUUUUAUUAUUACAAUCAAAGGAUGUCAAUAAAAUAAUGUUUCAUGAUUCAUAAACUAAAGCUCAUUAGGAAUAUAUAUUAGAUUUAACUUUUAUGAAAUUAAUAAAGUGAUGUUUGAAAUAAAAUGAAAAUAUAUAGACUUGUAAAACUUAAAAUUCCUAUCAUGUAAGAAUAUUAAUUAUAAGAUAAACAAAAAGUUCAAAGAAUAGGUACAUUAAAUGGGUGUUAAAAAUAAUAUAUACUCCGUGAUCAAUUAUACAAUGGUCCUUAGUAUUAUAUAAAAUAAUGAGAAUUUUAAUAUGCGAUUUUAAAUUUUAUUACAACAUGAGUGAUCAAGUAGUUUUUAGGUUAUAAGCAAUCUCACUAAUGGGUUUAUUGAUGUGAGUAUGACGUUUACUAAAGUAUAUGUACUUAGUUGUGUUAUUUAUUAGUGUUAUAUCAUAUAUAAAUUUUGCAAUUAUAAUUUAUUUAUUUGAUUUGUAUUAAAUAACCUAUUUCAUAUUAUAUUGUAUACUUAUUGGUAAUAGAUUUUGGAAAAUUUAUUUAUAAAAAAUUAUCACGAUACAAAUUUAAAGGAGACUUGAAAAGUAAUUAUAAAUAAAAUAUGCUAUUUAAGUGAAAUUACUUUAAACUCUAAGGGUAGUCACAAUUAUUUUACAAACAUUUCUCCACCUCUUGAACGGUUGACAAAUCGUUUAACAUUAUUUUUAAUUUUUUUCUUUAGCAAAAAAUUGUAUACCAUUAGAUUUAAUCCAAUGGUGCACAAUUAAAAUAUUAGUAAUAUUUAAAAAAAAUUACAGCAUCAUAGAGGAACCCUUAAAAUAAAAUCUCUGCUAAAUAAUAGUCCCCAAGUCCACAGAUCAUGAACAGGUUAGCCUCCAGUCUUGCCUCCAAAGUCAGGUACCGUCUUUCUGAAUUUCUCUCUGUUGAUAGUUCGGAAGAUCUAUCUUUUAUUUGUUUUGAACUUCUGACUUUGUUUAUUACCUGUUUCUGUUUUUUUUCCCCAACGUCAAUGGCAGGGUGGCUAAGAACAUUAUCCCGCCGGCUAAAAACAGUAUCCGGCUGGUGAGACUGUCCUGUUUUCUUCUAUAUAUUCUCUCUGUUAUUUAUUUUCAAUCUCUCUCAAGAGUUGCUAUUUGGUUCGUGGCUUAUAUAUUUAUGGAAAAUUGUCGUACGUAUUCUGUAUCAGGUUGGAAGUAGAUUAAGUUGGGGCAGAAACUACGUUUCUGGUAGCGAAGAAAUCCCUUAUAAUGCCAAACUCAUGAACUGGCCUAUAGUGAGUCACUCAUCCUGUAAAAGUUUAACCUUUUUUUUUUUUGUUCUUCUUUAUAUUAAUUGGUGCUGUGUUUUGUGUCUGAUUUGCUGUAAUUUUGAGCGAAAAUUUUAUUUGAAAACUUUUAAAGGAGUAUUUGAAAUCAAAGUGCAUGUUUUGGGAGUGCUUGUUAGACAAGUUAUUAUGUAGCAAAUUAAAAAUAGUAUAGCAAAACAGCCUAACUGCCGGCGAUCGCAACACCGCAUCAAACGGCUACAAACUGAGUUUCAACACCGUCUUUGAAGAGAUUGGCGGCAUUCAACCAUAAUUCUGGUGGUUUUCGCAGCCAAGCUUGCCACCGUGUAGCAGCGGUGGCCGUGAGUUAAGAGAGGCUUUUUUUACUCCACCAUGCCUCCAAUGCCAGCGAAAUUCAUGCCCUUUUGAAAUUUGUGAUCCUUUGAUCUUUGACAAUGACGACUUUUUUAUUGUUUUAUAUAAAUAUUUAAGAAUUGAAUUAGUUUAUUUAUUUAAUAUCUUUUUUAGAAGGGAAUUAGUUUAUUGAUGGAAAGAUGAAUUGGUGUAUAUUUUUUAAUAAGUAAUUAAUAAAUAUAUUUAAAAUUAUUAUUUCCUUUUAUACAUAUAACUAAAUUUUUGUACAUUUUAGUCAUUAUGCAUUAACAGCCCCCCAAUUUUAGGGCUAAUUUACCAAAUAUAUCUAACAAAUUAUUAUAGAGUUGAUUGUCUCAUAAUCUAAAUUUAGCAAACGUGUUUGAAAUUUUUUCUAAAGCUGAUUAUUUCGAAAUCUAACACAAUGGUGAUUGCUUGGGAAUCCAAUGCAAUCCCAAACUUGGCCUAAGACUUGUUACAACAGUAUCUCUGCUUGUUGUUUGCUCCUCUUCAAUAAUGUUGGGUUCUUUUGAGAUGCCUGUUAAUGUCAUUGGAUAUUGGUGUUGCAGGAUCGUGAUGUUACAGGAGAGGGUUUUGCUACAGUUGGCAAAAUUGCAAAAUGCGGGCACAAAACUGAUGCCAACCUUGCAUGUGAUACGGUGGAAGAAGGUGUCUGGCUGACCGCAUUAGGUUAUUCGGAUGAGCGUGGUGAGGGUUUUGAUAGUCAAGGUAUGUACCGACAAACUAUAUUAAUUGGAAAAUGGUUGUCUUAGAUGUAAGCUGCUAUUUCGCUGGUGGAAUCUCCUAAGGAUGGGCUUGAUUACUCAUUUGAAGUUUGAUUAUGUUUGUUUGCACUUUGCAGUCUUAAAAUAUAGGCCUAUCCUGACUUAUACCUUGGACGAUGCCUUGAGAAGUGAAGGAUUCGAGGCAGUCAAAGCAGGAAUGAGUGCUGAUCUAAUAAUUGGAGAAAUUUAUGAAGCAGUUUGGAGAGUUUGUCAAUACUUACGUCGCAUAGCACGACCGGUCAGCGGAUACGGAGAAAUCGUCCAGGUUUAUUACUUACUGAAUAUUGCUUUGUUUAGGAGUUGGGAGGAUUAUAAUAUGGACAAUGGAUAGAAGUUGUUUAAUUUUAAUGGAUAGUAAGGUCAUUUAUUUUGAUAUGCCUGCAAACUAUUUUUUUUUUUUUUUCCUCUAUAAAGGUUGCGACAGCUGCAGCAAAUGGAGACAAAAAGACUGGGGAGUGGGUAGCCAAGGCUGUUGAGAAACUUGGAAUAGGUGGUUUAUUUUUUUUAGAUGUAAGUUGCUUGUUCUAUUUAUGACAUUCUUCUGUUUUGAGCCAUCUUGGUUUGAGAUUGCUUUGGCAUGGUGUUCCACUUGUAAUUUACCUUUCUUUUUCUUUUUUUUUCCUUUAUCAUUUUACAAAACUUUGUCAUUGAUUUAAAGUUUUACAAGAUUCUGUUUUGCUAUUAAAUUUAACUCUUUUCAAUUAAUGGUAUUUUUGACCAAUUCCGUGACCCGGGGUUAUCUUUAAUAUUAAGACAUACCUUAGGACGAAGUGGGACGUGACAAGUAACAUGUUACAUGUGCUUUACUUCUGCUUAAUUCUCUUCUCCUUCGCAUGAAUCAUUUUUUUUUACUUCACAGUCUUAUUUGUUUCAUUAACCCCUUACAUAGAAAAAUUUGGGUCAUUCAAAAAUCUUAGAAGCCGAGACAAAUUUGUUGCAGGGGAAGAGAAGAUGGAAGACUAGAUUAGAGUAUAUUCAGGCAAUGAAAGUAGAUUGGGGCUUUGUGUCCCCUUCCUUCAUCACCAAUAUGAAUUCUGCAACAUGUGUAAGUACUUCAAUAAAUCACUGUACUUCUUUUUUAUGGCUACGUUUGGUACGUAGGGAAUCAAUUAACAAGAAGCGCGCUUGUUUUACCAAAAAUGUAUAAAGUUGUCUUUCUUCGACUUAAUGCAGCUAUUGUUUUGUUUUUGCUAGAGUUUGAGAAAUCCAUUCAUUUUAAUCCAUGCGAAUAAAAUUUUGACUGAGGAUGUUGUAAAGCAAGCAAUUAGACCGGUAUGCGAGAGUGUUUUUUGCGGAAAUGAGAAGCUUUAGUUUAUUUACUUACAAAUUAACUGAAUCUUUUUUUUCCCCUUUUCUUUUCGGUAGAGACGACCUCUAUUGAUUGUAGCCGAGGAUGUAGAAACGGAGCUGGUCAGAUCUCUGAGACGGUCUUAUCGUGGGAAAUCAAAGGUUUUCUUAUCAAAAUAGAAGAAUAUGAGAAUUAGAUAGGGCACAAGAAUUCACAUAGUUCCUCCUGAGAUCUGCAUUCACAAGUGAAGCCGGCUUAGGAAAUUUUACAGAUAUAAAACUAAAUUACAAUUGAACACAUGAGUGUAUAGGUUACAAAUAAAAGACUUGCUUAAUUUUACAUAUCAUGCAUUUACUUUUAGUUUUACAGAAGCUCGUUUUAUUAAUUUGGGUUUAUGAAUUGAAGCUUUGUGUUGUCAAACCUCCAAAAUGUGAACAUAAUGGAAAGGCAAUCAUGCAGGACCUUGCGGUCUUCACUGGAGGCGAGGUGGGUUCAAUUGGUAGUUAGUGUUCCCACCAGUUUUGCAUUACUUAUGUAAUUCGCAAACCAAUGUCAUACUAUCUUUUCACUUUUAGGUUGUAACUGGCGAAUCAAAUAUGAACUUUGUACCACAAAUGCUUGGUUCAUGCAAAGAGGUGAGACAUGUAAUGUGCGAAUUGUUUUUGCUGUAUAAGUCCUUGCCCUAGAUCAUUUCAAUUGUCAAGGGCAUGUUUUGUUGAAAUAGGAUAUAUUUUAGCCAUUUCCACCAUUGCAGGUCAAGGUGUCACAGGAUGAGAUGGUUAUCGUUGGUGGGUCUGGUGGCCAAGAAGACAUUGAAGAAAGACGUAAGGAGGUUGGUUGUGGCUCUUUUUGACAUGUUUUGCAACAAUUUUCAGACUUUUUCGUUUGUGUUCAUUUGUUAUUUGAAAUUAUUCGGUACUUCUGUUAUUUUUGUUUCAGUUAAAAUUCUCAAUUAUGUCGAGCACUUCAAAUGAUGAAUUAAAGUUAUUAGAAAAGAGGCUUGCAAAGUUUUCUUGUGAAGUGGCUUAUUUUAAGGUUUGUUUGUGUGAAGUUGUGUUUUAUUCUAGCAUCUUAGCCGUACGAAACAUACAGUCCUUUGUUGAAAACAUAUUUAAUAGAGACUGUUUUUAUGUAAGGUUGGUGGUGAUAGUUGUGCCGAAGUGUUCAAAUAUGGUUGUAGAGUUUACAAUGCCAUAACUGCCUCCUUGGCUGCACUUGAUGGAGGAAUUGUAGCUGGUAAGCCUUAUAUUUUUAGAAUUUUGUGUGGUCGACCUUGUUCGGUUCAUGAAUCACAUUUUGAUAUUCUGAUGAAUUUGUAGGUGGCGGGGUUGCACUUCUUCAUGCGUCGAAGGAGCUAGAGAAAUUGCACACUUCGUGGUAUAAUGAAAAAAAAAACUAAAUAAUAGGAUGCUUGGUGUUCACCUUGUACAGAAAGCUCUCAAGGUAUUUGUCAUUUUCUUUGCAUACUAUUUUUCAAUUGUUUGCUUUUUCAAAUCUUACUGGUCAAUACUACUCAGGCAUCAGCUUCCUAACAAAUUUGAGGUUGCGUGUAUAGGCACCUGUGUGCUCAAUUGCUCAUGCUGCUGGAUUUGACUAUUCAGUUGUUGUUGAGAAGCUACUGGAGCAGGACAAUCCUGACCUUGGAUAUGAUCCGGCUAAAGGUUUGUUUUAAUAAGUAAAAAUAGAAACAAAAACUUGAGAGUUAUUUUGUGUUGUUCCCAAUGUGCAUUGAGUUGGGUGAGACUGCUCUCAUCAUAGUCUUUUUUUUUAUUUUUCACCAGGUGAAUUUAUCGAUCUGAUCGAGUGUGGAAAUGUUGAUGCGGCACUAUUGGUAGGCUUUGAAUUAAAUGAUGUCGCAUGAUAACUAGUUUAACCUCUUCAAUAUCUUAGUAAAUUUAUGUUAUUGCUAUGUACAUCAAGCUCAGUUCACAGACCCUCAAGAGGUGUCGUCCAUUUUCCAUUUUAUGUGACGGUAAUUUCUACUAAGCUUAUGUUAGUUCUCUAAUUAAGCAAAUACCAAUUAUUGUUUGUGUAGGCAUUCUAAUUGUAACUUUGGUACAAGAUGCUUAGAGCUCCAGUCCUCGAAGGGAACACAGACGGAAAAGGAGGCUUGCGAUCUUGCCAACGAAUGUUCCUUGGCAUGAUAUUUUUGUAUUCUUAUUUAUUAAUUUAUCUAGAUUCAAAUCUCUAAGAUAAUAACAUUUAUCGUAUUAUGCUAGCUUAGAUCGUUAAGGCUGCCGUUGGAGACAACAGUCUGUGAAAUAACAUGGGUAUUUUUAUUUUUAUUCUUUUAAUUAUUAUUUUUUUAACCUUUCACACACAUGACAGCCUACUAUAUCAAAACUAAACUCUAUCACUAUAUUACCACUAUGUCAUAAGUCAAAUUAACAACACAAAUCAUUCAAUAAAAUGCCAAGUAAACCAAAGCAAGCUGGAUGCCUAUUAACAAAACUCCGUUGUGAAUCAAAAUCUAAUGCAAUAAGGAACUGCUUAGUUGAUAAUACCCUUUUGUUCUUUGUUUAGUUGAUCUUAAUUCUGUUUCUUUUCGUCUAAACUUGUUACGGAGAUCUGGAUUAAGGUUGUUUCAAUUGAACUGAAUCCAAGAAGGUCUUAAUUCUGGUGCGUACAACUUGUACUGAUCUUGUGAAUAAUCUUGAGCAUCGAUUGAUCUUAUAAGUCGUCUAAGCAGAUCAAUCACUACAAAGGUUUAUGGUAAAGUUCGUUUAGUUUAGCUAUUCCGUUCAUUUUAUACAAUGGUUGAAUAAUUUCAUUGUAAAAGAACUGUAUAGUCGUUUUAUUUGUUUCUUAAUAUUUUGUAUAUCAUCAAGCUCUAGAGUUUUAUAGUCAUGUUAUUAAUGCCAAACACCAAGACAAUGUGUUGCAUUAGGAUCUGUCUAGUUACAUUAUUAACAUAUCAUAUUGACUGCAGCAUUUGCAUCCUCGGUUUUUUUGGUAGAAAGUGAGACCAAUAAAGUCCUUAUAAAUACAGCAUAGGUACUUUUAUACAAUUCUCGAUCAGUUGCCCUACAUCUCUGGAGCUGCACUUGCCAUCUAUCAAGUGGUCGCAAGAUCCUUCAUGACUAAUUCUUUGUCAAAGAAGUUUGACAUGAAUUUGCUAGCAUAAUGUACUCUAGUUAAUUUGUACUGUGAUAUCAUACCCCAUUUUUUUUUGUCUUAAUUGUUUAAUGCAACUUUUUUCUUAUUACCAUGGUAAAGAAGAAAACAUAAAUAUAAUAAAUUUCUUUUAAGAGAAUGCAAGUACUACUUUUCUAAGGUUUUAUGUUUAAGAAAUUAAUCUAAUUUACGUGGUUAAAAGAUUCUCUAUUUUUUAAUAGUUUAGAAGAAUUAUAUGUUUGAUAGUGGAUAAAUUAAAUAUUGUUUAAUACUUCCCUCUCAAUUCAAUGAUUCGUAAUGACGAAUUAGAUGAUAAAACUCAAGUAAUCAUAAAACUAAUUAAACCAAUUUUUUGCCAUCAAAUAUGACAAAAGGGUUCUGUUAAUUGUUAAUUUGUUAUUUAUUACACAUCUGUAAAAACGUCAUCACCAAGCUGUCCAAUGUUUUUUAGGUCUUUGGUUCGAAAACACAUGGUUACGUUCAUUAUUAUGGCUUUUUUUUAACCUUUUUGGUGAAAGGAGGAGGAGACAUUCACCGCACAAAAAGUUGAAAUUCAAAAUUAAAAUAAGGAUUCACUUUCCACGCGCAAGUAUGAAAAAAAAAAAAUCACCCAUUUGAUUAUUAUUAUUUACUUUUUUAUAGUUGUUUAUUGUUGUUAGUCUACCAUCAUCAGUUCAAUUCAUCAUCCUAUUUAACAAAGACAAAGCAUCAUCUAAAUUCUCAUUCAUAAGUACAUGUACUGCUGAAUCUUUUUGUUUUUAUUUUUGGCUUUCAGAUCCAUUAUAUGAGGUAUUUAGUUUUGACAUUUUACUUUUAUUAUUAUAGACUCCUUACUCAGAUGAUGGGUUUGCAUGUCUAGCUACUAGAACUGUUUGCUUGAUUCUUUGAAGUGUCUUCCUCUGCUGGGUCAAGCAUCAUUCACCACGUGCGACUUACAUCCUCCAGAAGUUCAAAACAAAUAAAAGAUAGAUCUUCGGAACUAUCAACAGAAAGAAAUUUAGAAAGCCCAUACCUAACUUUGGAGGCAAGACUGGAGGCUAACCUCUUCAUGGUCUGUGGACUUGGGGACUACUAUUCAGCUGAGAUUCUAUUUUAUUUUAUUUAUUUUGUAAGAAAAAGAAAAGAGGAAUAGUAGUUUAUUUAGUUGAGAGUUUUCGUUUUAUUUUUUAAAUAGCAGUUUAGUCGAUGAUGAUUGUUUUGUGUACUUCGUGCCCCGGCAUUCACUUCAGAAAAAGACGGGGCUAUCCUCUUACAUUAGAUUUAACUUUUUUUUACAAUGGCUAAAGCCUAAAAGAAUCCAACAUUUGCAAGCCUUCAGGACUAAAGAAUACAACAUACAAAUCAUCUUCCAAGAUACAAAUACUCUUCCAAUUCUGCUUCAACAGAUGUUCUUAGUUCUUAAUUUUUUAUUCAUAAUUAUUAUUACAGAUGGUUAUUUCUGUUAAGUUUUAUCACAAUAAUUUAAUUAAUAUUUUUUUUUUGUUCUUUUGUAAAGUGUAAUUAUUCAUCAUCAUCAAUUUGCGUUGCCUGAUUUGUGUAUAUUAUAUACUGUUGUUUUGUCUUGUGUAAUAAUAAUAAUAAAUAAAAAAUUAGUAAAUCGGCAAACAAAAAUUUGGAGAGCCCUUGUUAAACCUUAGAUUCAGGUCUUAUAUUUUUGUUUAUAUUAAAGUUGUUGAAAAUUGAGGAUAUUAUUAUAACUAUUGUCAUUAUUUUUAUUAAAUUCAUUUUAUUAUCUUAUUGUUAGAUACUGAUAUUGUUAUUUUGAAUAGCCCCCUCUAGAUAAAUUGUCUACUUCUGUCAUUAUUGUCACCGUCUGAUCCUUACAGCAACAAUUCAAGCCAAGUUUUGGAUUGAUUUUCGUGAUAAAAAGUUGUACGAAUGUUCGAAAAGAAUCUGGAUGAACAAAAGACAGAGUUCAUAAAAUGCUUGAAGCUAUUGGAAGAAGAGCUUGGAGAGAAACCAUAUUUUGAGGUGAAAAUAUGGAACCCGUAUAUGUGGUCAUUAUAACUGGUUAUAUGCCUAUUGAGAAAUGUCCAAAUUUGCCAUAUAGAAACAGAGUGAUCAAAGCUGAUUGAGGGGGAAAAAUAGGUGCAUGAAGCUUGAAAGUGGCUAAAUCUCUUUCUAACGAGUAGGCGGGAAAAUAUUUAUGGCUUGAUUUUGGCAGCAAAGAAGAAGAAGGGAUUAAAAUAUAAAUUUUAAUAUUUUUGUUCUUUCUUAGUGUGAUCUUCUUUUAUCAUGCUUUUGUUGUAGUUGUUUUGAUUAGCCUAGUCAAUUGUAAGGAUAUGCUUCAUGAAAAUUCAGUCAUUUUGAUGAUAUCUUGUGCAGAUUUUGAUGAUACUUAAGAUGAUUAGAAUUUAAGAGAUUUCACUAUAUUUUUUCUACGGUCCACUACUGUUUUGUUUAAUGUUACUUUGAUGAGGUAGAAUAACAUAUGACAACUUAGAUUGUUCGCAAAAAGAGAUCCAAUUUCUGUACAAUGUUAACAUCUUGUUAUUUUAUCCCAUUCCUUUGGGAGAAAAAAGUGUCGAAUUAAUGUUGUAACGUAUUGUGAAUUGCAGGGCAUUAUCGCUAAAAUCAUCGUAUCAAUUUGAUCCCUCUUGCUUGCAUGGCUUUAUUUCUCACUCUCAUUCAAAACGGACUUGGCCAAAAUUCCAUGAGUGUUACGGGUGGGCAUUCAAAUCCGGUUAAAUUGGAUUGAACCAAAUUUGAAAUUUAUUUCAAGUUUGGUUUAGUUGGGUUUAUCCCUUAAAAUCCAAACAGAUUCAAAUUUAAAAACCAAUCAAUUUUUAUUUCAGUUCAGGUUAAAUCAGAACCGAAUAAAAAAAUCGAACGAGUUUGCUUAGAAAAUAAAAAAAAAACAAAAAAUUAGGGGAAAAAAAAAGAGGAAGCAAUCACGCAAUCCCUAAAUCUAAUUAUCCUUCUCUUCAUCUUUACUAUGACAAUGAUGCAUUCAGACACAUAGUCACACACACCUAGCCUUAACCCUGCCUGAGCUAUCAAAUGCCCAUGCCACCACUAUCAAAUUCGUUCAACUGCACCGACGCUACUUCUAGUUGUUCCUUCAGCCGAUUUGCUUCUUUGUUCCCGCAAGCUUCAGCUAUUUUCAUCUUUUCCAUUCUUAAGCUGAUGCCCUUCCGCGUUCUAGCUUCUGUCAUCUCUGUUGUUACUGCCUUUGCGUUCGUUUGUCGUCAACCCCACACGAUAAUUUUAAAUUUACAUACGUUUUAUAGUAAUUUAAAAUGGUGCAUGAAUGGGACAAUUUUAUUGUAAUUCCAAAUUUGUAUAACGGUUGUUUGUAACUCAAUUAGGCAUGGCCAAAAGAACAUGUUGAGCAUGCUUGGUCGGUAAUUGAUAUUUGUUUUUCAAUUUUUUUGCAUCAAUGAUCUUGAGUAUUUGUGAAAAUAACUUGCGGGGUACCCCAGGUGCACCUGAAGAUGCCGCAAUUGUCUGGGAAGCUUUUUUGGCGUUCAACUUAUACUGGAAGGUCUUCAUGGGCUUUUUGUUUACGUUUGGUACCCUGGCUACUACGGGAAUAGCAAGAAGCAGUGGAGCGUUUCUCCCGAGAGCCGCCAGUUUAAAACUUUGAACGGGUGCCCAAUGGCUCGUGCUUUGGUCUACUUCCCUCCGGUAUUUCAGAUCUUGGUAUGAUUUGCUUCUCACCGCGUGGAGGCGGAACAUCUUGAGUUACCGGGGAAGUGGCUGCUUCGGGUACCCGAUAUCUGACUGCUCUGAGAAUCAGAUGAACUAAAUCCUCAAAGUGUUUAUGACUAACGGGCUCCUCGUCGGGUUGAAUACCAGUUGAUUGCUUAACAAAUUUGCCCUUCUCUAGGCGGGAUGCCCUCCUUGUCGAGUCACCCCUCUUAUCACUGCCGUGGUCCUCCGCUCUAUCAUGACUUAGCAUUUGGUUAUCAGCGGGUACGUCGGGUGCCAUGGUUGCGCAAGCACACAUACCGACAAGCUUAGCACUAUGUGGAGGCUUUUUGCGUGCUCCUCACAGACAACGCCAAUUGUUUGUGGCUGAUUUUGGGUUAACGAAAUAAAAUCACAAAACCAAGCCAAGAACAAUAAAUUUAUUUUUAUUGGGGAGCGGGGUGCCUCACUUGUUCGGCGCGUGCAGGUUGUUUAGGCUUUUUGUGGAGAGAAGGAGGAUUGAGAUGGCAGUGGAUAUGGAGGGUGUCUGACUUUAGGUGUAGAGGGCUGGUGAAACUCGCCUUAAACCUGCGAAACAACUAAAAAAGAAGUCAGAGGUGGAACCGGGGAUGGUCGGCGACUACGCUCCGACGCUCAAGUCAGAGUUGGGUUAUCUCUGGUUAGAGAGCUUGCAAGUCAGAGUUGGGUUAUUCGCCGAAUUCAGAAUGGUACGAGGCUUUACGAGAGGCCUUAGGGUGCAUUUCUAAGAGCCACAGCAUAGCCCCACCCAAAAAUACUGCCCUGAAGGUCGGGAAGCCAAAAGGCCCCAGGGGCUCCAAGACGGGUGGGCAUAGCCUUAGUGAGGGGCACGGGCGAAGUUCAUCCGCCGGACUUGGAAUGAGGCGAGGCUUUACGAGAGAUCUCGGUGUGCCCAUGGGGAGUCAAGGGCACAGCCGCGCCCAAAAAUAGUGCCCCAAGGUCGGGAUGCCAAAAAGGCCCCAGGGGCCCCAAAACGGGUGGGCUAUAGCCUUGGUGGGGGGUGCGGGCGAAGUUCGUCCGCCGGACUCGGAAUGGGGUGAGGCUUUGCGAGGGGCCUUGAUGUGCCCACGGGGAGUCGCGGUAAUAGCCGCGCCCAAAAAUAGCGCCCUAAGUUCGGAGUGCCAAAAAGGCUCCAGAGGCCUCGAGACGGGUGGGCUAUAGCCUUUGUGGGGAGCGCGGGUGAAGUUUGUCCGCCGGAUUUGGAAUUGGGCGAGACUUUGCGAGGGGCUUUGGUGUGCCUGCGGGAGUUGUGGGCACGACCGCGCUAAAAAUAAGCCUGAUUAUGAGUAGGGGUGAGCAAAAUACCCGACCUGACCUGACC
rnacentral:lncRNA from 1 species